rnacentral:rRNA from 1 species
GGGUGCGAUCAUACCAGCACUAAUGCACCGGAUCCCAUCGAAACUUCGAAGUUAAGCACUUGAGUGAGAAUAGUUCUAAGAUGGGUUUGUCCUAUGACUUUCAUAGACACAGACU